CUCAGAUGAUCUCCCUGCCUCGGCCUCCCAAAGCGCUGGGAUUACAGGCGUGAGCCACCGCGUCUGGCCGGUACUUCAACUAAAUAUUUAAGAUUAUUAGUACAUUGAGCUCAUCAAUGCUUCCACUUUGGGGUCCAAGAGCAAAACUGGAGCUAAUUCAGAUUAUCACCACCUAAGUUGCUUACUUUUAAAAAUUAUUAUUAUUUUUAAAUUUGGAAUGUCUCAGGGUUUCUGCUCCAAUUCAUAAUUCCUGUGUCUUUAGUGGAAAUGUCAGUACUUUAUAGGAUGACACACACAGCAUUAUUCCUGGCUGUUGAGACACCAAAAAGCCUGAUUUACUGUUCCUUCCAGAGGAUCCCCAACACCGACAUUGACUAAAUUCCUUUUCUGCAAGCAUCCUGGCAGAUGUUCUGGUUAAGACCUUGCACCGUCACGAGCUCAUCCUUUUCAUGCUCCAACAGCUGUUGAGUGCUGUGUAGCCACCACCCAAGCAUCUGACAUGUCGAUUUCAUUCUAG
rnacentral:lncRNA from 1 species